rnacentral:rRNA from 1 species
UACGUAGGGGGCUAGCGUUGUCCGGAAUCAUUGGGCGUAAAGAGCGUGUAGGCGGUCCGGUAAGUCCGCUGUGAAAGUCGGGGGCUCAACCCUCGAAUGCCGGUGGAUACUGUCGGGCUAGAGUGCGGAAGAGGCGAGUGGAAUUCCCGGUGUAGCGGUGAAAUGCGCAGAUAUCGGGAGGAACACCAAUUGCGAAGGCAGCUCGCUGGGACGUUACUGACGCUGAGACGCGAAAGCGUGGGGAGCAAACAGG